CUGCGACUGAUUUUGCGGCGCAUCAGCACCAGGCGAUGGUGGGUAUCCUGUACGUGCCGGUGGAUCUACAUAAUGUGUCGGCGCAGGGCUGACACUGCAGCCAGGUGACGUCGCUACCGCCGCCGAGCACCAUGUAGAGCUGCCGCGCGAGCCGGCCCACUCCGACACGCGAGAAGUACUCACCGCUCCCUGCCCGACGGCGGACACCACGGCCCCUGUGUCUCUGUUGCCAACGCCUCGAAGACCGGCGUGGUCUUGGCCGGCUUCAGAUCGGCGGCCCGGGGAGUCGCUGUGUAGGCGGGCGAGCACGUGGGACCUGUAUCUCUGGUGCCGGCCCUGCUCCUCCGGGAGGAAGUCCCUGGAGUCGAGCCGCAGGGUGAGCCCGCUCUGGUGAAGGAGUGGGUCGAGGAGAACGACCUGCGCUGUUCUUCAAUCGCGUUCUGGUGAAGGAGUCAAUCGCUGGUGAACGACAUGCUUAAUCUUGAACAUCCGAUUGCUUUCAACUUGAUCAACCUCUGCCCUUUUAUUCGUGGAAGAAGCAGCCCGUGAGGACGACCUGUUCUCCUUUUCAAUCUGGUGCGUAAGUCUGAAGUUUCUCUUUCUCAUGCCAUGUUCCCAUGAAUAGCUCCCUAGAACUGACAGAAUUCUGAUCACAAGACUGCUUUCAACUUGAUCAAGCUUUCCCUUUUAUAAGAAGAAGAAUCAGCCGGGGUUGUAUUUUGUCUACUGAGAUGGAAGAAGAGGCUAACACAUCGUACCAUCGUACCAUGCCAACAUGAGGUACCAAGCUUUCCCUUUCACUUUUACUUUUCUCUCAUCCUGAAAUAUGGCACUUGCAUAAGUUUUUUUUGCUGAUGAUUACUUUACAAUUGCAUAGCUAUAUUUUCCGUUUUGGUACCUCAUGUUUGCAUGGAUUUUAAAAAUUCGGAUGAAGCUUGGGCAUUUUGGUUUAGCUGUGGUGAUCAAAAGGGCUUUGAGGUCCGAAAAAGGUAUAUGAACAAUAGAUCCGCCGAUGCCAAGGUAACGCCAGGUCGAUUUGUUUGUGCAAGGAAAUGGAAUGCUUAAUCUCUUUUUCCGAAGUAAAUUCAAUUGUCAGGUCUGAAAAUGUACAAGUAGCAAGGGCUACAUAGGCUAAUUCAGUUAACAAGUAUGAACACUAAAUUCAGUUAUCAACUAAUCGGCCCGCAACGGUGCGACAACGACGGUGUGCGCAGCCGACCUGAAGCCAUGCAGAUGGGUGUGCAGGUCGUCGAUGUGGGGUUGCUGCGCGCGUAUGCCGAGGUGUUCAUCACGGGCGACGACUCGAGGGGGGCGACGAACAGGACGCCCUUGGACCGGCAUGGCGGGGAGGCCAUGUAGCACGUGUUGCUCUGAUUGCCCUGUAUCCUAGACGCCGCCGACCACAGGGGCUCCAGCUGCACGUGUUUCCCGGCCGCCUCCAACCAGAGGGGGCUCUUGCGACGUGUUGCUUUGUUUCCCGGCCACUGCGGACAGCGAGGGCUCCCUUUGCACGUGUUGCUUUGUAUCCCGGCCACCGUUGACCACUCGGGCUCCGGCUUCACGUGUUGCUCUGCGUCCACUGCUUCUUUGGCGAGCUAAUGGCGACGACGAGGACGCGCCUUGAGCUCGUUCUACCGCGAUGAAGAACUAUUUUUUUAGAGGUAGAAUGGGAAUUCUAGGGGAACGAGGAGAUUAUUGAAAUCAGGAGGUCAUCAUGGUAUGGAUAUUUUUAUUGUUUUUAUCUGUUUCAUACUACUAUUGGAUUUUGUUGUUUCUCACUAAGAGCUAUUUGACUUAUAUAAUCCCAAUGUUCUGUUGUUAUCUUCCAAACUAUUAAAAACUGGGUGUGUGCUUUAUUGUGAGCGUUCACGAGAGAAGCUUACUACUAUUUGGAAUAACAGGUUGCAAAUACGUUCGUUGCUCUGGACCUUGUCAUGGAAGGAUUAACACUAAAUGACCAUAAAUGAACUACAUUGGCUAGGACCUUCAGAUUAUGAGGGCGAGGAUGUCUUAUUGAUGCAACUUGAUGUUAUGCAGUUUAAGAGGUCAUGGCUGCGAGUAUGACAAACAAUUAUAUCUGCGUUACACGAUGAGUAUCUACAUAUUACCAUGGUUUCCCGCGAGGUAUUGGUGAUGGCGUUGGUUGCCAAGAUGCACUACCGGAGGGGGGCGGCAUAAUGCAAAUAUACUUGGCCACAAUUUAAUUUUCUUCAUGGACUGAUUUUGUAUCAAUUAGUUAACGAUAUUUGGUACUUGUUAUGCAAUGGACUUGGGAAUGUAUUCAUAAAGCAGGAUAUUUUCCAGUCAUUUUAAGGACUUAGAAAUUAUAUGCUAUCUGCA